AAAGUCUACUAGGGGAGUCCAUAAUGCUUGGACUGAGAAAAGAAAGCAAUCUUUGACCCUUGGAACCUGAUCUGGAUGAUACCAGCGGAGGGAAGUAGUAAAAAACAAGA
rnacentral:ncRNA from 2 species